UACGUAGGGCGCAAGCGUUGUCCGGAAUUAUUGGGCGUAAAGAGCUCGUAGGCGGCUUGUCACGUCGGGUGUGAAAGACCGGGGCUUAACCCCGGUUCUGCAUUCGAUACGGGCUGGCUAGAGUGUGGUAGGGGAGAUCGAAUUCCUGGUGUAGCGGUGAAAUGCGCAGAUAUCAGGAGGAACACCGGUGGCGAAGGCGGAUCUCUGGGCCAUUACUGACGCUGAGGAGCGAAAGCGUGGGGAGCGAACAGG
rnacentral:rRNA from 1 species